rnacentral:rRNA from 1 species
ACCGCACAAGCGGUGGAUGAUGUGGAUUAAUUCGAUGCAACGCGAAGAACCUUACCUACCCUUGACAUGUCCGGAACUUGCCAGAGAUGGCUUGGUGCCGAAAGGGAAUCGGAACACAGGUGCUGCAUGGCUGUCGUCAGCUCGUGUCGUGAGAUGUUGGGUUAAGUCCCGCAACGAGCGCAACCCUUAUCAUUAGUUGCUACGCAAGGGCACUCUAAUGAGACUGCCGGUGACAAACCGGAGGAAGGUGGGGAUGACGUCAGGUCCUCAUGGCCCUUAUGGGUAGGGCUUCACACGUCAUACAAUGGUCGGUACAGAGGGUUGCCAAGCCGCGAGGCGGAGCCAAUCCCACAAAGCCGAUCGUAGUCCGGAUUGUUCUCUGCAACUCGAGAGCAUGAAGUCGGAAUCGCUAGUAAUCGCAGGUCAGCAUAUUGCGGUGAAUACGUUCCCGGGUCUU